CUUAUCUUUCUGCAAGAUAGCAGUACUGUAUAUUAGAAAAGAAAUGACUCACAGGUUGUACCUGAUAGACCUACUUAAAUCUUUUUGCUUUAUUCUUUCUGUCGCAUAGAAGUAUAAGUUUAUUACUCUGUUUUAUUGUAAGUUAUUUCACAUGGGAUCUGUGUGCCUGGUAUGAUUGUUGCUUUAAAAAUACUAUAAGCCCACUACACUUAUUAUGAGAGUGGGAUAGUGUAAAUGUGUUGCAUUGUUUGCAUGAUGAGCUCAGUAUAUUUUAUAACUGAGACAAAAAGUCACUUCAUUAGUAUUUGAAAGUUAAUUCCCCAUAUGGGAUUAAUUGUAUAGAAACACCAAUCAGCACAUCUUCCCUGCCCUGUGUGUUUGUUGCAAAGGAUCCAUACUGUAAAUAUGAUUUUUGUUUGAAAAUAACAGAGCAACAUUUACAUUUUCAGCGGUCCAACACAUGCUUUAUUUUGCACUGUAAACUAACCUUUUUAUUGCAACAGGUUCCUUUUAAAUGAUCCAGUGUAAUAACUACUGCUUGUGUCUUCUAUGUCUCACAUUAUGUGUUAUUUUAAAUUGUGGUAUAUAGCCUGAAUCAGAAAUCAUGGACAAAGGUUUUUACCUGUGUUACUAAGGGCUCUUGGAGACUGACCGGUCUAAAGGUUUGCCAUGCCUUUAAAACAUGGUAUAGUAUAAAUUUUUAAGUCUCUGAGAGUUCUGAAAGAUUCAGGUGAAACCAUGUCUGUUUAAUCUGGUCCAGAUGUUUGUUCAAUUUCUGUAAGAUUUAAGUUGAUGCAGCAUCAUCUCAGAUUAGUUAAUGGUAGUUUUAUACAAAUAGUUGAGUUAUGAGCGCGCUAUAUAAAUGGAUCCUUUCUUUAAAUACAAUACUAUAGUAGAUUAAAGUAAUGAAG